rnacentral:lncRNA from 1 species
CUGAUUAUAAGCAACUACAUGACUAUCCUCCCCCUUUUAGGAAACGAAUAGGAACUUAGAUACAUCCUAGCACACUAUGCGUCUCCCUAAUGACUCUUCUUUGCGGAUUAUGUCUCUUGAAGGUAGCUUCUGGUCAUCGCCCUGUGUCUCCUUUAGGAUGCUUCUGAUGGGCAACUGUAUGACUAUCCAGCCCUCCUUAGGAAAUGGAUAAGAACCUUGAUACCUCACUCAAGAAGCAUGGAGACCUCCUUU